UUGUUCCUUUACCACUAUGAAUUAGUUGCUGCACAGGCAAGCCUUCUUUUUGUUCAUUUUGCACUUGAGAAGAUGUUUACAUCUUUCUUUGCAUGCACUUUAGCUUUGUCCAAAUGAUGACAAGACCAUGGUUCUCAUGCAUACAUCAGUUUUGCAUAUGGAACUUCAUGUUUGCUUCAUAAUUAGUUGCCCUUCUGAAAUCAGUCAGCUCAGCCAUUCUGACCCAUCCACUUGUGUUUCUGUCUGGAGGAUAUGUCCUGAGAAUCAAGCAAAGAUGGAUGGAUUAGGGUGGCUCCUACAUUUAAAUCUUACUCGCAUCGAAUAAUGCCUAUGAAAUUUGUCGAAAUCUGAUUUCUUCUACCCUAAGACUUCACAUAGGUUGAGUUUGUGCCCAUGUUUUCUCUGCUACUGAAACCUUGUUCUCUUAACAGGCAACAGUGAGGCAGCCUGCAGUGAAGAACACGCUGAAAGCUUUGUACUUUCAGUUCACCAUCGGAGUUGUACCGAUGUUUGCCAUUACCUUUAUCGGCUACUGGGCUUACGGAGCUUCAACAUCCACAUACUUGCUUAAUAGCGUAAGCGGUCCACUUUGGGUGAAGGCGGCUGCUAACAUUUCUGCCUUCCUGCAAUCGAUCAUUUGUUUGCACGUGAGUAAACACACGCUUGUUUGUAUCAUUAACCAUUUUUAGCAAUGCUUCACAAACCUGAAAACUUCCUCCGCUGGCUGCUGCAGAUAUUUGCGAGUCCAACUUAUGAGUAUUUAGACACCAAGUUCGGCAUUAGAGGAAGCGCCUUGCAGCUUAACAACUUGUCCUUCAGAAUUGCAGCAAGAGGCGGGUACCUCGUUAUCAGUA
rnacentral:lncRNA from 1 species